AACCCAGAAAUAGUACCUUGGGUUAAGAACUUUGCUUCAGGAGAACAGAAAUCGCACGGCGGCAGCAGGAGGCCCCAUUAGCUAAAGUGGUACCUCAGGUUAAGAACAGUUUCAGGUUAAGAACGGACCUCCAGAAUGAAUUAAGUUCUUACCUCGAGGUACCACUGUAUAUGGCAUCUGGGAGGUGAGGUAUUUUCUGGUUUCACUGAUUAAAAUUUUUGGGGACCUGGCUAGAUCUUCUUGGCGUUUGGUAUCUUCCACGUGCUGUUUGAUGCUUUUUUUGGCUUGUUCAUACCCCACGUUGAAUAGGAUCUGCGGGGUGAAGCCUAGAGUUGUUAUUAUGUUUAUCAUUGCACGUUUCCAUGUCGUUUGGAAACUGACCUUAAAAGUUAAAGUAGCAAGGAGCAAGGCUUUGGAGACGUGUUUAGGCACUUGUAGGGCUGAUCUUAAGAAUUUAGAUUGUACCAGUACUAAUGGCGCACAAUUGGCAAGGGGACCUAAUUGGGCACCAUAUACAAGCUGCACAAUGGAUUUGGCCUCAAACAGUUUGAGGGCUGAAGGUAUAUAUUGUCCGCCUUUAGUCCUGAGGUACCUGAGCAUUGCAUUUGCGCUUCUCUGGGCAUUCCCUACAACAUAAACCUUGUAGGCAUUUCUACUUUCCGAGGAGUGAAGGGUUAUACCCAAAUAUUUGCAUCAGGUGAGCUGCUCAGUCUUAUGGCCACUGAGCAAUCUUAUGGCAUGAGCAAGGUUUGGGCCUUUUGGCAAAGCACAUGAUCUUGAUUUUCUGAUAAUUUAGUUCUAGUUUGCUCUCCUUGCAGUAUGCUGCCAGUGUUUUCAAGCCUAUAGGAGUUCUUGAGAGGAUUGCUGCGUCAUCAGGUUCAGAGGAAGUGCAGCCUUGUUGGUGUUCCUUGAUCUCCCAGUGACUUUAGACACCACUGACCAUGGUGUCCCUGUGGAAUGACUUGGGGAUGGGGAGUUGGAGGCACCAUUUUACUGUGGCUCUGCUCCUAUUUGCAGGGUCAGUACCAGAAAGGGCUCCCUUGGGAGGAAGGGUGGAAUAGAAACUUCAUACAUAAAAUGCAAAAUAUAUUAAUAUACAAUCUGUGUGCCAGAGUUUCCCAUAUGGCUUGGGUAGUGCUAGUUUCAACCAAGUGUUUGUGGGCAGAACAGCAAGCCAGGCACCUGUUCCUAUGAUUGUGGAACCUCUUCCCUUCCUAUUGGCAACAAAAAUGUUAAAUGCAUUUAUCUGAAGUGCCAUUUCAAGGUACAGUUUUUUGAAACAGGUUUCAAGACCUUCCUACUUGAUUCAAGUUCCAACUUAACCUUAAUUAUUCUUUUAAAAUAAUUGGUAUGUUUAAUGUCCAACCACAAGAUGUUCCCAGAUGAAUGCAUCUUGCUUAUAACCAUGGACAGUCCAUGAGAUAAUUUCAGACUCAUUGGUAGAGUUGCACAAUUUUGCUUCCUGGAUGCAACUAGAGACUGGAGAACAGGGUGACUCAGUGAUUCAUAAUUGAAACCAAUGCUUAAUGAUGUAAUCCAGAGGCCAUGGCUGCAGCCAUCUAUGAAGCUAUUCAUAACAAGAAUAAAACUACUGAUCCAAGUGUUUAACAGAGUAUCUCUGAAUGAGCAACAUGCUGUAAUUCAGUGAUGUCACAUUCUGCUUGCAUCAUUGCUUUCUACAAACAGAAUGUGCAACACCCUAAAAAAAAAUGCUGUUAAAAUUUUGUCAUUGGAGUCUGACAAUCAUUCUUUAUUGUCUACCACACAACUGUGGGCUGAGAGCCUAUGAGAGGUUGCAAAAUACGUGCAUGGAGUAAUGAAUGUUGGGAUUCUUGGUAUGAUCUCUAACUGUUGAGAGAGGUAACAUCUCAGAGAUCCCCUUUGAGACCCUGACUGAGAACUCUGGAAGUGGCAGAUGGGAGAAAGAGCUGCUCCAUUCCUGUCCUUUGGGUCAUUGCCUCUAGAGUAUGAAAAUAUAACAAAUAGGACCAAAUCCCACCAAGAAACUAAACAAAGUAACAAAUGCAGGGAGGACAGGGAGGGGAAGAAAAUGAAUAUUAGCCAGUCAACAGGUGCAAGAAAAAUCGAAUUUAUUAAGCUUAAACUUCCCCAACAUCUCAGCAAUCCUGAGUUCCUGAAAGAAUGCCUUUCCUCACAUUUACCAGCCUGUGUAUUGAGAACAUAUAGUUCAGUAUGAUUUGCAGGAGUUUCUCAAAAAAAUAUUCCAGAAAUACAAGAAGUCUGCUCUACAGUAACUUGGAGCAUGGCUUUCAGUAUGUCUUCCCCUGUUCUGUGGAAUGGCAUUGUGGCAGAGACAUGAAAGGCACCCAGAAUCUGUACCUUCCAGAAAUAACUGAAUACGUUUUUGUUUUGACGAGCAUUUCCAUCUGGAUAAAAAAGCCUGUCUUAGGUUUAAGAACAAUACAAAAUUAACCCCUAUCUUCAGUUGUUUUUGUGCAGUCUUUAAAAUGAUUUUAACUGGGGGGGGGGGUUAUGGUGUGUCAAUAAAUCACCUUGAAAUGUAUGUAGGUGAUUCAUAAAUUGUUAUUAAUAGCAAGAACUCAUCAAAAGCCUUCUUCUGGGUGCAACUGCAUUCCAAAGUAAGGCAGAUGGUGACAAGGAACAGGACCCUUUAGGCUGUGGCACUAUCUUUCUUCCAGAAUUAGAUGGCAUGCUCCUUAGAGGCAGGAAUCACUAUAUGUUUUUGUCUAUACAAGGUUAUGUAUUGGUAAGUUUAUUUUCGUUUAAUUUGAACUAUUUCAGUGUUUCAAAUUAUUGAGCAAUGGUUGAACUUCUAGAUGGUCCCACUCCUAAAAGACCUGUACUUUGUCAGCUGUAUUGGCUGGAAGUCUGUUUCAAGGCCCAAUUUAAAGGGCUGGCUUUAAACCUUAAAAACCUGAAUUGCUUGGGUACCUAAAAGGACACUUUUACCUAUAUGCAUUCACUUGAACCUUAAGAUCAUCUUUAGAGACCCAGCUCUUAGUUCCCCCCACUAAAUGAAGUGAGGUAGAGAGCCACCUUUUUGGUACUAGCACAUUAUGGAACAACCUUCCUGUUCCAUACACCUCUUUGUGCUAGGUGCAGCUCCCAAAUAACUUGCAUCUUAUGGCCUGAUCCUGAUUUUUUUUUAAAUAGAAAAACACCUUUUCUAAUUGCUUUUAUUAUUGUACAUUUUAAUUAUUUGUGAGCCACCCAGUUAAUAAACGUUAAACGUUAAAACGUUAAACGUUAAAAAAAUAUUCUGAACAUGAUGGGCAGGGGUGCUCAUUAUCCAAAUCAGCCAGGUGGGCCCUAUGGACAGGCAAAUGGAUUUGUGUGGUAGGGUGUGAGAAGAAGGCCCGAGGGAUAACUAUCCAAAAUACUCUGCAUGUUUUUCUUCAGAUCUGUCUAUUCUCAUGUGCAGCAGGGAGAUACAAGCCAAUGUAGUAAAAUCUCCACAUACUUGACAACAUGGCUGCUUUCAGGUUGGUCCGCAGAUUACAGAAUACGCUUUUUAGAAGAGGAACUGAUUUUUAUUUUUUUAAAUGGAACACUAGCCUAGCAGAGUUUACUGAGACAAACUGGAAGUCUGUACAACUCACUGUUGGGUGAAAUAAAGUUAAAAAACACAACAACACUGAAGGUUUAUCAUACUGGUUCACACCAUCAAAAAGACUCUUCCUUUUUAAAAAAAUAACUAGGAAUAGAAACUUAAAACUCAU